GUUAGAAUAGUUUAGACAAAACGCUAAAUUUAUAAUUUAAGUGAUAGAUAAUUUCUUCUAACA
rnacentral:tRNA from 1 species